CUCGUAGGUGGUUUGUCGCGUUGUUCGUGAAAACUCACAGCUUAACUGUGGGCGUGCGGGCGAUACGGGCAGACUAGAGUACUGCAGGGGAGACUGGAAUUCCUGGUGUAGCGGUGGAAUGCGCAGAUAUCAGGAGGAACACCGGUGGCGAAGGCGGGUCACUGGGCCAUUACUGACGCUGAGGCACGAAAGCGUGGGAGCAAACA
rnacentral:rRNA from 1 species